rnacentral:piRNA from 1 species
UGUUCAUCAAGGACCGGACUAAAGACUCUC